rnacentral:lncRNA from 1 species
GAAGGGCAGGAGUUCGGGGGAGCAACUUGGACUAGUUGCACUAGUGAGAAGUGAUGACCUGAUCUCUCUCAUCUGGCUUCCUGGGAUUUAGGGAAGCAGAGGGGCGCUCUGCGAGAGGAAGGUCCCUUUGCCUCCUUCCUCUCCAGCCCAAGACCUGGGAAGUCCAGGAGUGAUGGCUCCCAUAUAAACUUUUCUGAGAAAUGGUGCUAUGAAGCGAAUAAUUGCAUCUCUAAUGAUGUCAAUAUUUCUGAUGUUGCCAGGCAUGGCGGUGGUGCACACCUUUAGUCCUAGGAAGUAGGAAGCAAAGACAGGAGUAUCUCUGAGUUCGAAGCCAACCUGGUCUAUCUGCAUAGAAAUCAGACGCUAUCAGUUUGGCUCAGGAGCAAUGGCAGCGGUCUUCAAAUAAACAAAGACUAUGAGAAGCAAGUAGCCUUCCUAUCUGGAAGUGGGAACCAGAGCACCCAUCCACAAGACGCCUAGGAGAUAACUGUUGUUCACAAGCUGCUGCUGUUGCUUUGUAAGAUCUUAGUGUAUGGGAAUGUGAGUGCAUGUGCCUUCAG